rnacentral:rRNA from 1 species
AUUGAACGCUGGCGGCAUGCUUUACACAUGCAAGUCGAACGGCAGCGCGGGCUUCGGCCUGGCGGCGAGUGGCGAACGGGUGAGUAAUGCAUCGGAACGUGCCCAGUAGUGGGGGAUAGCCCGGCGAAAGCCGGAUUAAUACCGCAUACGACCUGAGGGUGAAAGCGGGGGACCGAAAGGCCUCGCGCUAUUGGAGCAGCCGAUGUCGGAUUAGCUAGUUGGUGGGGUAAAGGCUUACCAAGGCGACGAUCCGUAGCUGGUCUGAGAGGACGACCAGCCACACUGGGACUGAGACACGGCCCAGACUCCUACGGGAGGCAGCAGUGGGGAAUUUUGGACAAUGGGGGCAACCCUGAUCCAGCCAUGCCGCGUGCGGGUAGAAGGCCUUCGGGUUGUAAACCGCUUUUGUUCGGGAAGAAAUCCUCUGGGCUAAUACCCCGGGGGGAUGACGGUACCGGAAGAAUAAGCACCGGCUAACUACGUG